rnacentral:lncRNA from 1 species
AUACUACUAAAAUCGUCUUCCAUUGCCAAUUUUUUCACACGUUUGAUAAUUAAUUCCUAACACUCAAAGCUAUUAUCACUCCUCGGCAGUGGCGCCAAAAUGUGAUUGUUCGUUUUACUUAUUCCAAAUUAAUCUAAUGAGAAUAAAUCUGUAUAGACAGAUUCGAAUACAGGGAAUCACUAAUUGCUUAAGUAUUCACGUUAGGAUCACACAAUCAAUUACCUCUUGAAUAUAUCGUCUCUAUUUCUAAUAUCUGAACACACAAGGAAACUAUAAUCUCUUCCUUCACCUUAUCGGUCUCUUCCUUACAGUAAUUCAGUCAUACCAAUAACUGCUAUUUCCACCAAUAUAUUCACCCUCAUAAUCUCCAACUGUAAUAUUGUGCCCUCACAGUUUUCAGCACACAAUUAUCCUCAUUCCAAUCACUGGAAUUCUUCACAUAGAACUGCCAUUCACAUUACGGUGUUUCACACAAACACAGACUCAUUCUCUCUGCUGAACUACAAUCAGAUUUCAGCAUUCAAUCUUUCUUCUUUUCAAAUAAUACCAAUCACAUUUCUAUUCCAUAAUUCACUUCACAAUAUUCAAAAACUCUCAAUCCUCUUAUUCAAAGAAAAUAACAAACAAAAGAAAAGAGGUAGCACCAAGCUUACUCCGGCUCACAACUAUCACAGCGAUGGCAUCCUAAUUAACUUCUACAACUCUUAU